rnacentral:lncRNA from 10 species
GCUGGAUCUUCGGAACGAGUCCGUGAAGGAUCGGGCGCGGGCGCGGGCGCGGGGCCGGAGGGCCCUGGGAGAGUGGGUUGAGAGAAUGGAAGUGAAGAGGAAGGCUUCACCAUCACCUUAACUAACAUGUGUUUCCUACCGUUAAAUAAACAUUAUAGGAGGCCACUGUUUUGGACUAAGUUUCUGCACCAGGCCCCAGCCGACCAGACUAAAAAUCAAAAGAGUCACCCAUGCUAAAGUUCCACAUUACCAAAUGGAAACUGAGUUGCCAUCUAACCUGGGGAGAAAUCAAGAGACAACAGCCAAUUUCCCAAACAGGCCGGUUUAAAUCCUCAAUCAACAUCACAUUUCCCUGCUUUAAUCCUACGCAAAAAAAGGCGGCUUGAAAGAACCUGAUAGUAACCACUUGGUUAUUAUUCUAUUGGUCUGUCCUGCCUUACAAGAAAAGUAAAAGUAACUUUGAAAAAUAACUAUAUACUCUUUUUUUUUUUUUUGAGAUAGAGUCUCGCUCUGUCGCCCAGACUGGAGUGCAGUGGUGCAAUCUCGGCUCACUGCAACCUCUGCUUCCCGGGUUCAAGCGAUUCUCCUGCCUCAGCCUCCCAAGUAAGUGGGAUCACAGGCGCACACCACCAUGCCCAGCUAAUUUUUUUUUUUUUUUUAAGUAGAGACAGGGUUUCACCAUUUUGGCCAGGCUGGUCUCGAACUCCUGAGCUCAAGUGGUCCACCGGCUUAGAACUCACAAGGUGCUAAGAUUACGGGCAUAACCCACUGUGUCUGGCCUUUUUUAAAAAUUUUUCUUUUUUCUAAGGUACAGGGUCUAGCUUUGUCACCCAGGCUGGAGUGCAGUGGCAUAGUGGCAUAAACCCAGCUCACUGAAGCUUUGACUUCCUGGGCUCAAGCGAUCCUCCUGCCUCAGCCUCCUGAGUACCUGGGACCACAGGUGGACACCUCCACGCUCUGCUUAUUUUUAAUUUUUUUUUUUUUAUUUGAGAUGGAGUCUUGCGCCAUCUCGGCUCACUGCAACGUCCGCCUCCUGGGUUCAAGCAAUUCUCCUGUCUCAGCCUCCCGAGUAGUUGGGAUUACAGGCAUAUGCCACCACGCCUGGCUAAUUUUUUUGUAUUUUUAAUAGAGACAGGGUUUUGCCAUGUUGGCCAGGCUGGUCUCGAACUCCUGACCUCAAGUGAUCGCCUGCCUUGGCCUCCCAAAGUGCUAGGAUUACAAGUGUGAGCCACUGCACCUGGCCUUUUUUUUUUUUGAGAUGGAGUCUCACUCUGUUGCCUAGGCUGGAGUUGGAGUGCAGUGGUGCUACCUAGCUCACUGCAACCUCUUGUCUCCCAGGUUCAAGCGAUUCUUGUGCCUCAUCCUCCUGAGUAGCUGGGAUAACAGGCGUGCACCACAUGCCCUGCUAAUUUUUGUAUUUUUAGUAGAGACACAGUCUCUUCAUGUUGGCCAGGCUGGUCUCGAACUCCUGACCUCAAGUGAUCCACCUGCCUCAGCCUCCCAAAGUGCUGGGAUUACAAGCGUGAGCCACUGCACCUGGCCGUUAAAAAAAAAAAAAAAAUUCCACCACACCCGGAUAAUUUUUGAUUUUUUUUUUUUUGAGACAGAGUCUCGCUCUGUCCCCAGGCUGGAGUGCAGUGGUGCCAUCUUGGCUCCCUGCAAGUUCCACCUCCCGGGUUCACGCCAUUCUCCUGCCUCCGUCUCCCGAGUAGCUGGGACUACAGGUGCCUGCCACCACACCCAGCUAAUUUUUUGUAUUUUUAGUAGGGAUGGGGUUUCACCAUGUUAGCCAGGGUGGUCUUGAUCUCCUGACCUCAUGAUCCACCCACCUCGGCCUCCCAAAGUGCUGGGAUUACAGGUGUGAGCCACCAUGCCUGGCCUAAUUUUUGAAUUUUUGGUAAAGACAGGGUUUCACCAUCUUGGCCAGGCUGGUCUGGAACUCCUCACCUCAGGUGGUCCGCUCACCUCGGCCUCCAGGGAACCACCUCACCUGGCCCAUUUUUUAAAUUUUUGUAGAGACGGGGUAUCACCAUGUUGGCCAGGCUGGCCUGAAACUCCUGGCCCAAGGGAUCCUCCCAUCCCAGCCUCCUGAAUCACUGGGAUUACAGGUGUGAUCCAGGGCUCUGGGCCUAAUAUACUCUUUAUUCUUUGCCAAUGCUUUCUUUAACCCUUCUGUGUCUAUAAAGCCAAGCUCUUCUGCUCAGAUCAUUGACAUACUUAUUCUAUUUUAUAGAAUGAGGUGCUGCCCAAUUGUGGAAUCGCAAAUAAAGCCAACUGAUAUUUUUAUACUAAAUUUCUCAUAAUUUUGUCUUGGCCGGGUGCGGUGGCUCACGCCUGUAAUCCCAACACUUUGGGAGGCGGAUCACCUGAGGUCAGGAGUUCAAGACCAGCUUGGCCAACAUGGUGAAACACCCACUCUGCUAGGUCAUGUGCUGAGGAAUACAGUGAACAAGUUACAGUUCCUACACAAAUAAGCUUGCAGGCUGGUUGAAAGACUGAACAAUUAACAAUAUGAAUCGUUAUUCAAUUAAAAUUGUGAUAUGUGGCUGGGCACGGUGGCUCAUGCCUGUAAUCCCAGCACUCUGGGAGGCAGAGGCGGGCAAAUCACAAGGUCAGGAGCUUGAGACCAGCCUGGCCAACAUGGCGAAACCCCGUCUCUACUAAAAAAAUACAAAAAAUUAGCUGGGCAUAGUGGUGGGUGCCUGUAAUCCCAGCUACUCGGGAGGCUGAGGCAGGAGAAUCGCUUGAACCUGGGGGGCGGAGGUUGCAGUGAGCUGAGUUCGUGCCACUGCAUUCCAGCCUGGGUGACAGAGUGAGACUCUGUCUAAAAAAAAAUUAUCAUAUGCACCUUAGUGGAGAAGUACAGGGAACUACAGGAGCAGUGUUUUCUGAGCAGCCAGUGCUUAUUAUUAUGUGCCAGGUUCUAUGCUAAACCAUUUAAGAUUUGGCUGUGGUCUCCAGUCCACCUAAGAUCUAGAUCAGACUUAUUUCAAACAUUGUAUCAACCAGGAUUCUAGCAGUUGCAAGUAACAGAAACAUAACACAGGCCUGUUGUAGUAAAUUUCCCUGUAAUUCCAGGCUUUGGGAGGCCUACAGGGAUAGCUUGAGCCCAGGAGUUUAAGAAGCAGCCUGGGCAACAUAGCGAGACCCCUCAUCUCUGCCAAAAAAAAAAAAAAGCCAGGGUGAGGGGUGACAUUACAUGCCUGUAGUCCCAGCUACUGGGAGGCUGAGGUGAGAGGAUUGGAGCAGGGAGGGGAAGAUUUACUGACAAACUCUGGAAGUAUGUUUUUGUUUGUUUGUUUGUUUGUUUGUUUGAGACAGAGCCUCACUCUGUCACCCAGGCUGGAGUGCGGUGGCCCGAUCUCGGCUCACUGCAAGCUCUGUCUCCCGGGUUCACACCAUUCUCCUGCCUCAGCCUCCCGAGUAGCUGGGACUACAGGUGCCUGCCACCAUGCCUGGCUAAUGUUUUGUAUUUUUAGUAGAGACGGGGUUUCACCAUGUUAGCCAGGGGUCUCGAUCUCCUGACCUCGUGAUCCACCCAUCUCGGCCUCCCAAAGUGCUGGGAUUACAGACAUGAGCCACCGUGCCUGGCCGGAAGUAUGUUUUGAAGUAUGUUAAGUAUGGCUGGAUCCCAGGGGCUCAAGAGAAGGUUUCACAGCUCCAUGUCUCUCGUUAUCCCUCAAUUCUCUCUUACAGGCAGCCAAGCAAGAUGGCUACUAGCCGUUCUAGGGCCAGGUGCAGUGGUUCACACCUGUAAAUCCUAGCACUUUGGGAGGCUAAGGGGGGGGGGGAUCACUUGAGGCUGAGAGUUUGAAAUCAGCCUGGGCAACAUAGCAAGACCCCAUUUCUACAAAAGAUAAUAAGAAAAAAAUUAGUUGAGCAUGAUGGUUUGCACUUGUAGUUCCAGCUGCUCAGGAGAUUAAGGUGAGAGGAUCCCUCCUUGAGCCCAGGAAUUCAAGGCUACAGUGAGCUAUGAUUGUGCCACUGCACUCUACCCUGGGCAAUAGAGUGAGACCCUGUCUCAAAAAAAAAAAAAAAAAGAAAGAAAGAAAGAAAAGAAAACAGAAAGAUGACUGUGGCUACAAGCAGUUUUAGGCUUUCAUUGACUUUAUAGCUCUGGGUCCCUGAAGAGAGAGUGUACUUCCCAACGGCUCCAGCAUUAAAAAAGCAGUCUUGGGGACUAUGUCUCCUAAAUUCCUUGAAGCUGUCCUGAGCCCUUGCACAGCUAAACCCAAGUCCUGAGCCCUGUGCAGGCCAUGGCACAGCAGCAGUGCAGGCUACACGUUAAAUUCUGGGGAAUGGGAGUGCUUAUCGUGGUGGAGGCUUGGAGAUGCCUCAUAAAGGCAAAGGCCGCAGGGAGAUAAGCAGAUCACAUGGUAGAGAGAAGGCAGAAGGAAAUAGUGGCUGUUUCUCAGGCCAGGCUCUGUCGGUGGGAUAGGCCAUCCCAAGUGGGCAGACGAGUGCUGCAGAGGCAAAUGGAGAGAGGCUGGAGCUGGCAAAAUAGUCUAAGCAGCCUCCAGAGAUGCCCCAGGCUGGAGAAACCUCUGUAAGCCCCAUUGGGAGUCAGAGCCCAGACUCAAGUCCCUCUAGGCCUGCUCUAGGGUAUGGUCUGAUAAGGGGGUCUCAGGCCAUCCAAAAUAUAAUAAGAGGUCUUCCCAUGUGCACAACUGUUUACAAUUUUCAAAGCUCUUACCCUUACCCUCUAUGACUCUGAGGUACACAUUAUUCGGGCCAUUUUACAGGUGGGAGUAUUGAGGCUAAGAAUAUCAGGCUAACCUGCCUAAAGUGAGCCAUUCGGCAGAGACAAAACUCAGCAUCCGGGUCACUCCCAGGGCUCUAGCCCAUCCCCACUCCUUCCAUCUCCCCACUGACCUUUCCCUAACCUAAACUCUCCUGGAGCCUUGAAACCUCCCGAUCCCCAUCCAUGGUAAUCCAGGAGCUGUUAAUUUUUUUUUUUUUUUUUUUGAGACAGAGUCUCAUUGCUGGAGUGCAGUGGCACGACCUUGGCUCACUGCAACCUCCGCCUCCUGGGUUCAAGCGAUUCUCUUGCCUUAGCCUCCUGAGUAGUUGGGAUUACAGGC